rnacentral:misc_RNA from 1 species
CAUUCUCAUUCUCGUACGCCUCUCACCUCCGGCUAUCCAUAGCAGGCGAAGGUAAGUCAUCUGGGUGAGUGAAAAUGGUAGAUAAGACCAAGGGAAGAAAGGAGGAGGUGGUUACCAGAGAGUACACUAUCAACCUUCACAAGCGCUUGCAUGGAUGGUAAUCUGUCUUCCUUUAUAUGUGCUUCAGUGUUUGUGAGCGCUUUGUUCUAAAAGUUUCUUCUUUUUUCGUUGGCUCUUUGGAUUGUUUUUGGUACUGCUUUAUUAACUGGAUAACUUGUUUAUUUACGGCUUUGGAUUGGCCUUUAUUUGAAUCUGUUAAUGUUUAGAUUAGUAGUUAUAGUUUCAAUGUAUUUAUCAUUUAUUAAUGGGUGCUUGAUGGAGAUAGAUAGAGAAUAGUUGGGUUGUCCAAUUGAUGGAGAUGGAAUUGGAAUUUAAAAGAUGCUGGAUGCUGAUGUUGGUUGCCAUAGCCAUUUUAUAUGUAUAUAUUCAUUGGGAAAUGGGUAUUCUUAAGUAACCAUGGCCUAAUUAUGGUAUAGGUAGUAACAUAGCUUUACCUUAGGAUCAUAAAUGUGGGUUUUAGGGAGUUCUUUGUUAACAAUUGGGCAAAAGAGCUUGCUGUUAGUUUGGGAGGGUUUAUGAUGAAAAUGGCAUGCCAUUUGGUGUGCUUUGGGAGAAAGAAGACUGGUAAAGGUGGUUUAGGUGAUACAGAUUUAUGAAUUAUCUUAUGUCAUUUUGAAGUGUUGAUUGGCUGCUCCUCUGCCCUCGUAAAUCUUAAGAGCGUGCAAUGUGGCAACUCUCCUGCAUUUGGACACAUCCAUGUGUUACUAACCUUGGAGAAUAUCAUUAUAUGGUCCUGUGUUUGAGUGGUGUAAGUAGUUCAUUUAUUUAUAAUUGCAUUUAGGAGUGAGUUUGUCUUUCCUUUAGUGAAGUGAGAAAUUUUUAUCACGAUCUGGUGUAUGGUAAGCAUUGCACAAUUUGCCAUCAUGUAUCACCUUGAUAUUAUUUUAUGUUGAUAGUAGCUUAUUGUGCGUUUUGAUAAUUGAAUGCUGGUAAAUCUAAUUAAUUUGAAAAUGGACUUGCACUCCUGCAAAUGUUAAGGUUACCUGAUCUAUUUAUUUAUUCAUUGCUGAUCCUUGCUAAAUUUUGGAAGAACAGCACCUUCAAGAAGAAGGCUCCCAAUGCUAUUAAGGAGAUCAGGAAGUUUGCUCAGAAGGCGAUGGGAACAAAGGAUGUGAGAGUGGAUGUUAAGCUGAACAAGCACAUCUGGAGCAGGGGGAUCCGAAGUGUUCCUAGGAGGGUCAGGGUUCGCAUUGCUCGCAGGAGGAACGAUGAU